ensembl:lncRNA
GGGUGCUUUGUUUGUGCUUUUGGUGCACAAAGGCAGAAGGGAGUUGGACUAAAUGGCCCAAGGGGUCUCUUCCAACCAUUAUAUUAUUAUUAUUAUUUUAUUAUGACACAGCAAACAAGAUAGAUAUGCUGGAUUUCGUUUCACAAAAUCACAAGUCAAACACUUCCCAAGUGUCUAGGACUGUGUGAUGUAUUUUCGGAUGAUGCGUGCAGAUCCCAGCAGGGUGGCCUUUUGCAGUUGGCAGAUCGUAAUUUUGUCAAUGUCUAUUGUUUCCAAAUGCCGGCUGAGAUCUUUUGGCACGGCACCCAGUGUGCCCAUCACCACCGGGACAACCUGCACUGGUUUCUGCCAGAGUCUUUGAAGUUCAAUCUUGAGGUCCUGAUAGCGGCUGAGUUUUUCCUGUUGUUUUUCGUCAAUGCGACUGUCACCUGGGAUGGCAACAUCAAUCGACUGUCACCUGGGAUGGCAACAUCAAUGAUCCAAACCUUUUUCUUUUCCACAACUGUGAUGUCUGGUGUAUUGUGUUCCAGAACUUUGUCAGUCUGGAAUCAGAAGUCCCACAGUAUCUUUGCACACUCAUUUUCCAAUACUUUUGCAGGUUUGUGAUCCCACCAGUUCUUUACUGCUGGGAGGUGGUACUUGAGGCAUAAGUUCCAAUGAAUCAUUUGGGCCACAUAGUUGUGCCUGUUUGUAGUCUGUCUGUGUGAUUUUCUUACAGCAGCUGUGGAUAUGAUCAAUGGUUUCGUCGGUUUCCUUGCAGAGUCUCCAUUUUGGGUCAUCAGCUGAUUUUUCGAUCUUGGCCUUAAUUGCAUUUGUUCUGAUGGCUAGCUCCUGGGCUGCAAGGAUCAGGCCUUCUGUCUCCUUCUUCAGUGUCCCAUUCAUGAGCCACAGUCAGGUCUUCUCCUUAUCAGCUUUUCCUUCAAUUUUGUCAAGGAACUUUCCAUGCAAUGGUUUGUGUGCCAGCUGUCAGCUCUAGUUUGUAGUGCGGGUUUCUUGUACUGGUUUUUUGUCUGCUGUGCUUUGAGGAGUUUCUGAUUUUUGACUUCAAUCAAAGCAGGUUCUUCAAUUUCUUUUACAAAUUCUGCCAGGGCAUGUUCUUCUUCUUUGACUGCUUGUUUUACUUGUAAGAGUCCUCUGCCACCUGAUUUUCUAGGCAGAUAUAGCGAGUCAACAUCACUGCGAGGGUGCAGUGAAUGAUGAAUGGUUAUUUAUUUAUUUAUUACAUCACUUCUACCACGCCCUUCUCACCCAUCAGGGGACUCAGGGCGCUUUGAGUUUUCUUGUUUUUUUGUCCAAAUUGUUCAGUCCCGCCUGUGUCCAAUUUAUAAUGCGAGCAGUAUAUCUUAUGAGAGGUAUGGCCCAGGUGUUUAUGGCUUUGCUGGUGUUGCCUCCAUUGAGCUUGCUUUUGAGAAUUUUUCUGACCCUUUGGUAUAUUCUUUGCUGACCACAGUUUUCACAUGUUCAUGCUUGAUGUUGUCUAGCUGUAAUGUGCCCAGAUAUUCAUAGGCCUCUGGCUGGUGACACUUUAUUAUUUGGCCAUUAGGCAUAUUUAUGCCCUCACUUUCCAUGAUUUUUCCCUUCUUCAAGCCACUGUUGAACAUUUGUCCAAACCAAACUCCAUGCUGAUAUCAGUGCUAAAAAUUCAGACAGUGUUAGUCAGGAUUUCAGUUUGCAUUUUCCCAUAUAGCUUCAGGUCAUCCAUGUACAUCAGAUGCAAAAUUUUGUGAGAUUUUUUAGAUGUUUGAUAGCCGAGGUUUGUUUUUUGUAAGAUUGUUGACAUCAUGGCAAUAAUGAAAAGUAGAGGGGACAAUGAGUGUCCCUGGAAAAUUCUCCCUGGAAAAGUCCAUAGCUUUCAUUCCCAACAAACAGCUCAGUUUUCCAGUGCUCCAUCAUGUUUUCAAUAAAGGUGCCAACGUUUUUACUAAUCGCAAUGACGUCCAGGCACUUGAUGAUCCAGUUGUGUGGGAGUGAGUCAAAGGCCUUUUUGUAGUCAAUCCAAGUCAUGUGAAGAUUAGCUUUUCAGCUUUUACAGUUCUCCAGAAUCAUUUUUUCAAUUAAUGUCUUUUGUGCCCCUGCUUUUCCGUUUGUUGCCUUUCUAUUCAUCUGGCAAGAUGUUUUUUUUCCUUCAAGAUAGUCUUGAAUUCUGUCAGCUAUGAUGCCAGUCAGUAGUUUAAACAUAGUGGGCAGACACGUUAUUGGCUUGUAGUUUCCUGGUGCUGCUCCUUUUACUGGAUCCUUUUGUAUCAGGUAUGUUCUUCCAAUUGUUAGCCAUUCACUGAUACUUCCUUUCUGCAGCAUCUCAUUGAAUUGUUGGGCCAUUUUCCAUGUAAACUAACCAGCCAAAAUCCAUGAAGUUGAUCACUACCAGGUAAUGUCCAGUUCUUGACUUUUUGCACUCGUUUGCUGAUCAUUUCAGUUGUUAUUUCCAUCUGUUCCAUUUUGUUCUGUGAGAAUUUUCCUUCAAACUCCUUUAUCCACCCAGGGUUUUUGUUGUAAUUCUUAUUAUUUUCCCAAAGCUCUUUCCAGAACUUUGUUGUUGCAGUUUUCUCUGGCUUUAUGGUUACUGUGUCUGUUGUUUGGUUCAGGCUCUGGUAGAACCGUCUUUGGUCUGAUCGAAACAGUUGAUUUUGUCUGUACUGGAUGAUUCUGGCUUCAUAUCUUUCAAUUUUUCUGGCUGUUGCUGUAAUUUCUUCUUUCAUGAUCUCCAAAGCUUCUUCAAUUUUUCUGGUGUUCAGCACAGUACUUUCUGAUCAGGUAUUGCUUGAUUUUGUCAUUCUUCAGUUUCUUCUCUUUCAUAUUUUUCAGGUUACUUGCAUCUGAUCUAAGUUUCUUGAUUUUCAACUCUAGCCUGACCUUCCACUUUGGUUUUUCAGUUGAUUUUCUUUGGGGCUGCCUUGGUUGUAGGAGCCCAAGCUCUUUUGUUACUAUCACUGCUGCACUGUAGGCAUACUGGUUUGUUUGUUCAAUUGAUGUUAUUUGGACAGUGGAGAGUCCUGUAUUCACAUCUUUCAUGAGAGGUGCCAGGUGUCUCUUGGGCACUGUUUUUAGAGUUGGGAGCCACUUUCUUAUUGCACUUGCUGCAGCAUGAGCCAUGAUCUUAUCCUUGAGCUCUUGUUGUCUUGCUGUGAAGGUUCCUGGUGGUUCAACAGGUGUUUCAAGUGCUGGUUCUUCAAAUUCUUGCAAAAGCUCCACACUUUCUUCUGGUUCAAUCUGUUCCACCAUUCCAAGUGUUGCUGGAGUCUCUGCUGCUGUCUGUGCUGUAGUCUGAUGGUAUUUUGCUUUGCAGAUUUUCUGGAUUUCUUUGAGUUCAACUUCACUGAACACUUUGUUUCUGAUUAUGAAUCUUCGUUGGUCAGCCAGUUGGGGUUCUGUUAUCUGUGAGUCUGGGUACUCUUGUUUUCAUAGCCGAUGCAUCCUUUUUUGGUAGCCACGCUUUUGAGGUUCAGAUUUGUUAUAGCAUUUCAUAACUGUGCGGUUUUCUGGCAUUGUAUAUUUCUGCCGCUUCUGUGACUGUUCAUUUGUAUUUUGAUUCCGUAGCCCACUUGUUGAUGGAUGUCCAGAAUCAACAGAAUCCACCGCGGUCCUUUUUAUCCUGGGUGACGACCGAGCCAGUAUAAACUUCAUUUUGGUUUGAUUCUCCAUAAUGCUAAUGGGUUAUGUGCUCUUAGUUCUACUCCUCAGCUGAGACCUCUCUGGCUUGGUUGGACCUGCUGGUAGUUACACUACCGCCAGCACAGCUCUCAGUCAUCAUUGGAGUAGUUAAGCCCCCCCCCCACCACAGCAAGGUGGCACCUACGGGGGGGGGGGUAUUAUUAUUUAAUCUG